UACGAAGGGGGCUAGCGUUGUUCGGAUUUACUGGGCGUAAAGCGCACGUAGGCGGAUCCUUAAGUCAGGGGUGAAAUCCCGGGGCUCAACCUCGGAACUGCCUUUGAUACUGGGGAUCUCGAGUCCGGGAGAGGUGAGCGGAACUGCGAGUGUAGAGGUGAAAUUCGUAGAUAUUCGCAAGAACACCAGUGGCGAAGGCGGCUCACUGGCCCGGUACUGACGCUGAGGUGCGAAAGCGUGGGGAGCAAACAGG
rnacentral:rRNA from 1 species